UACGUAGGGUGCAAGCGUUGCCCGGAUUUAUUGGGCGUAAAGAGCUCGUAGGCGGUCUGUCACGUCGGCUGUGAAAACCCGGGGCUCAACCCCGGGCCUGCAGUCGAUACGGGCAGACUAGAGUGCGGUAGGGGAGACUGGAAUUCCUGGUGUAGCGGUGAAAUGCGCAGAUAUCAGGAGGAACACCGGUGGCGAAGGCGGGUCUCUGGGCCGUAACUGACGCUGAGGAGCGAAAGCGUGGGGAGCGAACAGG
rnacentral:rRNA from 1 species